ACGUAGGGGGCAAGCGUUGUCCGGAAUCAUUGGGCGUAAAGAGCGCGUAGGCGGUCCGGUAAGUCCGCUGUGAAAGUCAGGGGCUCAACCCUUGGAUGCCGGUGGAUACUGUCGGGCUAGAGUCCGGAAGAGGCGAGUGGAAUUCCUGGUGUAGCGGUGAAAUGCGCAGAUAUCAGGAGGAACACCAAUGGCGAAGGCAGCUCGCUGGGACGGUACUGACGCUGAGGCGCGAAAGCGUGGGGAGCAAACAGGAUUAGAUACCCUGGUAGUCCACGCCGUAAACGAUGGGCACUAGGUGUGGGAGGUGUCGACUCCUCCCGUGCCGAAGCUAACGCAUUAAGUGCCCCGCCUGGGGAGUACGGCCGCAAGGCUA
rnacentral:rRNA from 1 species